rnacentral:rRNA from 1 species
GACGAACGCUGGCGGCGUGCUUAACACAUGCAAGUCGAACGGAAAGGCCCUGCUUUUGUGGGGUGCUCGAGUGGCGAACGGGUGAGUAACACGUGAGUAACCUGCCCUUGACCUUGGGAUAACUUCAGGAAACUGGGGCUAAUACCGGAUAGGAGCUCCUGCUGCAUGGUGGGGGUUGGAAAGUUUCGGCGGUUGGGGAUGGACUCGCGGCUUAUCAGCUUGUUGGUGGGGUAGUGGCUUACCAAGGCUUUGACGGGUAGCCGGCCUGAGAGGGUGACCGGCCACAUUGGGACUGAGAUACGGCCCAGACUCCUACGGGAGGCAGCAGGGGGGAAUAUGGCACAAUGGGCGGAAGCCUGAUGCAGCAACGCCGCGUGCGGGAGGACGGCCUUCGGGUGGUAAACCGCUUUCGCCUGUGACGAAGCGUGAGUGACGGUAAUGGGUAAAGAAGCACCGGCGAACUACGU